AUGCACUCUUUAGGGGGAGGGUUUGCAGUUACUAACAUUAAGUGUUUUACAGUUUUUCUUUGGCAGUGUUUUUAAGCCUUGGUGUUCAUGACAGCAUUUGGACUGUUGAUGGCUAUAGCUUUGUCAGCAAUGCAGGCAAUC